AUGGCGACCGGCGCACGGGUGAGUAACGCGUAUGCAACUUACCUAUCAGAGGGGGAUAGCCCGGCGAAAGUCGGAUUAAUACCCCAUAAAACAGGGGUCCCGCAUGGGAAUAUUUGUUAAAGAUUCAUCGCUGAUAGAUAGGCAUGCGUUUCAUUAGGCAGUUGGCGGGGUAACGGCCCACCAAACCGACGAUGGAUAGGGGUUCUGAGAGGAAGGUCCCCCACAUUGGUACUGAGACACGGACCAA
rnacentral:rRNA from 1 species